GCGCCCGUAGCUCAGCUGGAUAGAGCAUUUGGCUUCGAACCAAAGGGUCGGAGGUUCGAAUCCUUCCGGGCGCACCA
rnacentral:tRNA from 2 species